CAGUAGCCGCGGUAAUACGUAGGUGGCAAGCGUUGUCCGGAAUUAUUGGGCGUAAAGGGCUCGCAGGCGGUUUCUUAAGUCUGAUGUGAAGGCCCCCGGCUCAACCGGGGAGGGUCAUUGGAAACUGGGAAACUUGAGUGCAGAAGAGGAGAGUGGAAUUCCACGUGUAGCGGUGAAAUGCGUAGAGAUGUGGAGGAACGCCAGUGGCGAAGGCGACUCUCUGGUCUGUAACUGACGCUGAGGAGCGAAAGCGUGGGGAGCGAACAGGAUUAGAUACCCCGGUAGUCCCUGUCUCUUAUAC
rnacentral:rRNA from 1 species